UGCUUGCGUUCUGUCUGUUCCCUCUGUGGUCAUUUAACAGAAUGCAGACAGUUCCUGGGC
ensembl:miRNA ipu-mir-7557 ipu-mir-7557